CCUACGGGGGGCUGCAGUGGGGAAUAUUGGGCAAUGGGGGAAACCCUGACCCAGCAACGCCGCGUGAAGGAUGAAGGCUUUCGGGUUGUAAACUUCUUUGAUCAGGGACGAAACAAAUGACGGUACCUGAAGAACAAGCCACGGCUAACUACGUGCCAGCAGCCGCGGUAAUACGUAGGUGGCAAGCGUUAUCCGGAUUUACUGGGUGUAAAGGGCGUGUAGGCGGUUCUGCAAGUCGGGUGUGAAAUUUCCGGGCUUAACCCGGACGGGUCACCCGAAACUGCGGAACUUGAGUACUGGAGAGGAAAGUGGAAUUCCUAGUGUAGCGGUAAAAUGCGUAGAUAUUAGGAGGAACACCAGUGGCGAAGGCGGCUAUCUGGACAGUAACUGACGCUGAGGCGCGAAAGCGUGGGGAGCAAACAGGAUUAGAUACCCUGGUAGUC
rnacentral:rRNA from 1 species